rnacentral:rRNA from 1 species
GACGAACGCUGGCGGCGUGCUUAACACAUGCAAGUCGAACGAAAAGAGGGAAAGAGCUUGCUCUUUCCGGAAUUGAGUGGCAAACGGGUGAGUAACACAUAAACAACCUGCCUUCAGGAUGGGGACAACAGACGGAAACGACUGCUAAUACCGAAUAAGUUCCAAGGGCCGCAUGGCCCAUGGAAGAAAAGGUGGCCUCUACCUGUAAGCUAUCGCCUGAAGAGGGGUUUGCGUCUGAUUAGCUGGUUGGAGGGGUAACGGCCCACCAAGGCGACGAUCAGUAGCCGGUCUGAGAGGAUGAACGGCCACACUGGAACUGAGACACGGUCCAGACUCCUACGGGAGGCAGCAGUGGGGAAUCUUCCGCAAUGGGCGAAAGCCUGACGGAGCAACGCCGCGUGAGUGAUGACGGCCUUCGGGUUGUAAAACUCUGUGAUCCGGGACGAAAAGGCAGAGUGCGAAGAACAAACUGCAUUGACGGUACCGGAAAAGCAAGCCACGGCUAACUACGUG